CUCUCUCUCUCUCGAGCACCGCUGAGACAGACCAUUCCUUCCCCGCUGUGCCAGCUCUUCCGGGUAACCGCGCUUCUUCUUCUACUACUUCUACUUAUUCUUGUCAGUCAAGCUUGGGCUUUCGAUGAUCGCCGUUCUCUCCCGCUGUGACUUGACAUCAUGUUCGAGAGUGCGAACUCCGUGCGGCUGUCUCUUACGAUCGUGCGUGGAUCUCGCGGUUUUCCGUGACUGCUUCACGGGGUGAGAUGGUGCACGUUUAGAAGGGGUCUUAAGUACCGUGAAGGAUUCGUGAUUAUUAGCACGUGACGUGAGUCUCUUUAGGAAGUCAACUUCAUUAUCUGGAAUUAGAAUCCAUCGCUGUCGUACGUCCGGUAUGGUUGCCUGAACUUGUAGGCUGUUCUGAUGUUUUUUUCCGGGUGCCGGUCGCUCUUUUCCUUAACGUGUACGACGCUGAUUGAUCCCAUUGCGCCUCUAUAUAGUUUUUCUGAGUGCUUUUCAAAUAGCAGUGAUCAAGCCUUCAUUUUGAUAAUCAAUCACGAAGAUGAUCCGUGGUAGUUUGAGGCAACCAUUACUUUAUGUAAGUUCUCUUGUUUCCUGUCUCAUGGUCCAACUUGUUUUUGAAGGACCACGCUGCUCUGUCACUGCUGGUGACCUCCUCGUUACGGUGUAACAGAGCGCUAUAAAGUUCUUGUUAGUAGAAUGGGUAAGACUAUACGCGUACGCGGAUUCUCUUCAUUAGUGACGAAUGAUUUAGUCAGGAAAUUCCUGGAGCAAAAGACCGGGAAAGAUACUGUUGACGCCAUCAAGGUUAGACCAAACAAACGUGGGAAUGGAUCCCAUGCUUAUGUCCAGUUUAUCGACCCUGAAUAUGCUGAGUCGAUUAUUUCAUCGGCUAGUCAAGGUUUGUGGUAUCAGUGUUCUUGUUUGACUGUUUGCAAGGCUGAUUACGAUAUCGUGCAGAAGCCAAGAACCCUCUGGCAUUCGAUGGAAGGUAUAGCUCUGCAUUUUGGCUGCCAGGUAUCAGCUAAAAGGUUCUCUAGACUGUGGACAGGGGAGAAUGUCACUGUGAAUUUCGGAACGAAGCGGAGAAAAUUCUGCUUUUUUGUGUCUCAUCUCGAUGCGGAGUAUAAGCUUGAGUUAUCCUACGAAAACAUCUGGCAGAUGAAGCUACACCGUCCGAGAGGCCGUAGGACAAUGCAUCUCGUGAUUCAGCUGUAUGGGGCUCCUUGUAUUCAUAAAAAAGUUCAGCAUUCGGAAUCAGAGAAUAUCUGGGGCAGUCCUCUCUACAACUUUUUCAAAGAUGGUUCUGAUGACCAGUGGGUUAGAGCGACUGAUUUUACUUCAUUGGCUUGCAUUGGACAGUCAUGUGCUGUCUGUUUAGAGAUUCCUCGGGAAUGCACGGUUCCAGAUUUUCAUGAAAACUUUGUCAAUUAUAAGGAAACCGAUGGAACAUUGUAUAUGGAAGUUGGUUCUCCUUUCUCCUCCAGUGCGGAUCUGGUUCCAAUCGUAGGCCCUCCCAGGGGACUUGACUUGCCGUAUGAGAUUGUCUUUAAGAUCAAUUUGUUAGUUCAGAAUGGCUGUCUAGCAGGACCUUGUCUUGAUUCUUUAUUUUAUCGAAUGGUUGAUACACGGAGGAUAGACAUGGACAUGAUCCUAGAUGCCUUAGACAAACUGUUCCAUAUGAAAGAAUGUUGUUAUGAACCCUCAAAGUGGCUGAUUAAGCAGUACAAGAAAUAUCUCACCUCCCGGCAUUCUACGAAACUGUCUUCAAUAACGUUAGAUGCUGGCUUGGUUUAUGUACAUAGGGUGCAAAUAACACCCUGCAGGGUGUAUUUUUUUGGUCCAGAAAUUAAUGUCUCAAAUCAUGUAUUGCGGAGGUAUUCUAAGUACAUUGACAAUUUUAUCCGCAUUUCUUUUGUGGAUGAGGACUUGGAAAAAAUGCAUUCAACUGAUUUAUCUCCUCGCACUGAUUCGAGACAUGGAAGGACGGAUAUAUAUGAAAGGAUCCUUUCUAUACUCAAGAAUGGCAUAAGAAUAGGUGAUAAGGAGUUUGAAUUUCUUGCCUUCUCAUCCAGUCAGUUACGCGAAAAUUCUGCUUGGAUGUUUGCUCCAACAAAUGGUACAACUGCUGCAACUAUCAGGGAAAAGAUGGGUGAAUUCAGAAAAAUAAGAAAUGUCGCAAGAUAUGCCGCAAGACUUGGCCAAUCCUUUGGUUCAUCUACUGAAACUCUCAAUGUAGAUAGACAUGAAGUUGAAGUCAUUCCGGAUGUUAAAGUCAAAUCACAUGUUGAGGAUAAAUAUUAUAACUUCUCUGACGGAAUCGGAAAAUAUCUGAAAAUUUCGCUCGGAAAGUUGCAAGAAAAUGUGGCUUCAACGGCUAUACUCCUUCAGCAUUUCAAAUUCGCUAUGGCGGAUACAAAGGUGUUGUAGCUGUUGAUCCGACAUCCUCUGUUAAACUGUCACUCAGAGAGAGCAUGUCCAAGUAUGAAUCGAAUGAGACAAAGCUAAAUGUCUUGGCGUGGAGCAAAUAUCAGCCUCUCUUUCUGAAUCGCCAGUUAAUCACUCUUCUCUCAACGCUUGGCGUUCCAGAUCACGUGUUUGAGAAAAACAAAGAAAUGCUGUAGAUCAGCUAAAUGCUAUUUUAGUUGAUCCCUUACGAGCACAAGAGGCUCUAGAUUUAAUGUCCCCUGGCGAGAAUGGUAACAUUCUCAAAGAAAUGCUAAAGUGUGGUUAUGAGCCUGAUGCUGAGCCAUUUCUAUCGAUGAUGCUGCGAACAUUCAGAGAUGCAAAAUUGUUUCUUUUACGGACAAAAACAAAGAUAUUUCUUCCUGAAGGAAGAUACAUGAUGGGAUGCCUUGAUGAGACCCGAAAUUUACAAUAUGGUCAGGUGUUUGUGCAGUAUUCUGGUAGAAGGAAAAAACAGAUGUGGGAUGAGUCAAUCAUGUUCAGAAGUUCUGACUCAGAUCAAACUGUUGUACAGGGAAAUGUAGUUGUUGCGAGGAAUCCUUGCUUACAUCCCGGUGAUGUUCGAGUUCUAACUGCCGUAGAUGUGCCAGCUUUACGUCAUAUGGUGGAUUGUGUUGUUUUUCCACAAAAAGGAAAAAGGCCGCAUCCCAGUGAGUGUUCAGGGGUGAUUUGGAUGGAGAUGGUUACUUCAUCUCCUGGGACUCAGAAUUAGUUCCACCUCUCCAGAGCGAACCUAUGGAUUACACACCUGCCCCGAUUGAACAGUUGGAUCACGAUGUCACUAUUGAGGAAGUGGAAGAGUAUUUUGUAAAAUUCAUGCUUAAUGACAGCCUUGGAAUUAUUGCCGACUCCCACACCGCGUUUGCAGAUAGUAAGCCUGGAAAGGCCAUGAGCCCUGAAUGUUUAGAGCUUGCCAGACUUUUCUCUAUUGCUGUCGACUUUCCGAAAACUGGUGUACCUGCUGUGAUACCUCCUAAUCUGUAUGCCAAAGAAUGCCCAGACUUCAUGGAGAAGCCUGACAAGUCCAGCUACCCAUCCAAUAACGUGAUCGGAAAGCUUUUCCGGGAAGUCAAAGAGCUAGCAUAUGCAUCGAGCUCUAUUCGGAAGUUCACGCCGGAAAUGGCGAGGCAAUCUUAUGACCCAGAGAUGGAAGUGGACGGAUUUGAGGAAUAUGUCGAUGACGCUUUCUAUCACAAGGGUAAUUAUGAUUACAAGCUGGGUAAUAUGAUGGAGUACUAUGGGAUUAACACAGAGGCCGAAAUACUUAGUGGCUGCAUAAUGAAAAUGUCCAAAUCUUUCACCAAGAAGAGGGACUCUGACAGCAUUACCAGGGCUGUAAAAUCCCUGAGAAAGGAAGCUCGGAACUGGUUUAAUGAUAAGGGAAGUGGUUCAGAUUCUGAGGCUGUCGAUGAAUAUGCAAAAGCAUCUGCUUGGUAUCAUGUCACAUAUCACCCGAGUUAUUGGGGUUGCUAUAACGAGGGUCUGAAUCGAGAUCAUUAUCUUAGCUUUCCUUGGUGUGUAUAUGAUAAACUGAUCCAAAUUAAGAAGAAAAAACGAGGUAGGAUAACUGAUAAUAUGUCCACUCUUGAAGACCACUUAACCCGUGGAUUGUUCCUGACAAAUCCUACUCAGAUAUUUUAUUAGUUGGAGGGAGCGGAGUUAUUGUGUUUUUGUGCCUUCUGCAAUGUGCAGGCAACGUUCCUCCUAGACUCCUGCUUUUAUUUAGCAAAGCUUGAAUACUGGCUGCUGUUCGUGCAUGCAUUACAUCUUUUACUACAUGAUGGUAAUGCCUGACGGCUGUUCACAGUUUACAGUCUCUCUGAACGGGACUUUCCAUGGUGUCACAAUAAACGUUGUGUACCCCGUAAAUUUCCGUGAAUGACAGUUAUUCUUCCAUGACAUAGGUUCCUCCGAUUCCUAAUGCUGGGGGAUUUGAACGUUAUAACAUUUCUGUAAUUUCAGAUGACAGCUCUAGUCCAGAUGAUGCUGCAUCAGAUUUAGUUUGUCGUGGACUUUGAGAAUAAUAUUAUGCUCUUGCAA